rnacentral:ncRNA from 13 species
ACAGUGCAAGCAGAGCAGGCCGGGGCCCUUUCUGAGCAUGGGCCGGGCUCCAUGGAGCCACUGGUGCCAUUGUAAGCCCGGUACUGGCAGGCCGGUGCCACUGAA